GGCCUCUAAAGUGCUGGGAUUACAGAUGUGAGCCACUGCGCCCAGCCUAAAUCCAUUUUCAUAACAGUCUCUCCUACUUCCUUUGAUAGACUAUAUAAAACAGCCACUACAGAGUCUUUCCUGGACGUUACUAUUCCCUCAUCAAUGCACUUCUCUAAGCCUGGGUGAAAGGAGUGCCCUCUUGCACCUCCUGAACCUUUGAAUCCAUUCUCUGUUGUAAAAUCAGGCAAUUCUGCAUGUCAGCCUCACUCAAUGGAGGCCAUGACCAAAUAUAGACUUCCAUUAACAAGCUGCUACUGCAACUAGCACAGUGAAUCCACAGCCUGCCAUGUGUGCACUCAUAUAACAAACCCAGUCCAAUCCAACAUUACAUUAUCUCUAGUUGAACAGCCUUAGAAUCUGCUCCCUUUCAUAUCACCCACACUUCUGCCAACAGUAAGCUGGAAAAAUCUUCCAAUUAUUUGGCACUCUCUCUCUCAGGUCACACUUUUCCCUCAUUUCCCAGGUCUCCUGGAGUUUCACUACAGGAAGCAAUCAAAGUUGGUCGAUAUUGGGAACAAUCCACACUCCCCUGCAAAGUGACAGCUUUAAGAAUAAUGUGUGUAGCUGCAGGUAAUUGAUUUUGACGUAGUUUUCUGCUAUAUUAUACUUACAAUCAAACUUCUUUUCUCCCCCUCUCCAUGAACACUGGACUUGUUUUUUUUUCUUUUUUUUUUUUUGUUGCUAUUACAGGAACAGCUGCUAUUAAACAUUUUGGGACACAUCUUCUAGUUCUCAUGUUGGUCAUGGGAGGGUUUUGGGUGAUGAAGAAGCCUUGGCAGGUUUCGUGGCAGAGAAAAAUCCAACUAAGUCAUGCUGCCUGGAGAGUCAGGGCCUCAUAAAUUGGGAUUAGAGGCAGGAGUUUUAGUCCUAAAGAUCUUACAGAUUCCCAACCAUACAAAGUGCCUCCCACCUUACAUGAAAAUGGGCAAUAAUGGAAUCCACUGAUUACAUUUUAAUGUUUGUGAAUACACAUAUAAAACACACAUUAACCUUAACAAUUGGUG
rnacentral:lncRNA from 1 species